rnacentral:rRNA from 1 species
UGGGGAAUAUUGCACAAUGGGGAAACCCUGAUGCAGCGACGCCGCGUGAGCGAAGAAGGUUUUCGAAUCGUAAAGCUCUGUCCUAUGAGAAGAUAAUGACGGUAUCAUAGGAGGAAGCCCCGGCUAAAUACGUGCCAGCAGCCGCGGUAAUACGUAUGGGGCGAGCGUUGUCCGGAAUUAUUGGGCGGAAAGGGUACGUAGGCGGUCUAUUAAGUCAGGUGUGAAAGCGUGAGGCUUAACCUCAUUAAGCACUUGAAACUGAUAGACUUGAGUGAAGGAGAGGAAAGUGGAAUUCCUAGUGUAGCGGUGAAAUGCGUAGAUAUUAGGAGGAAUACCGGUGGCGAAGGCGACUUUCUGGACUUUUACUGACGCUCAGGUACGAAAGCGUGGGGAGCAAACAGG